GCGCCAUUAGCUCAGUCUGGAAGAGCAAUCGGCUUCGAACCGAUGCGUCGGGGGUUCAAAUCCCUCAUGGCGUACCA
rnacentral:tRNA from 1 species